ensembl:lncRNA ROCR regulator of chondrogenesis RNA
CUCCUUCCCCUAGCGGUUGAUUGCGAGGAGCAGCGGAAGGAAGGAUGUAUCAAACCGAAAGAAGAAAGAACCCCUGCCAGUCGCCCCCAUGACAUCCGACUCUGAACGGCAGCGAUCUAGAGGCUGUGGCGUGUUGCAGAUUAACAGCAGCGAGGGCAGGAGGCAAAUCAGAUGCCGCAGGAGCUGACUGUUUUCUUUAGCCCUGAGAGCUGACUGUAGGCACAGGUUGCAUAUCAAAGGCAACGGGAAUCAGUCUGUGGCAAUAUUACAUCAGGUCCUGGACUGGUGGUGGUGUUGGUUGCGGGGGUGGGCGGUGGGGUCCAAGUCCUAAAAGAUGUCAGUCAAACACCAGCUGAGCUUCUAGACCUCCUUCUGUGGCCCUUCUUCUGAUCAAGGACCAUUUCAGUAGAGCCUUUUAAGACACAUGUUUUGGAAUACAGUCAAAUGCGUGCUGCUGUAUGACCAGCCUAUUUGAACUACUUAAGCAUCAACUAAUUAAUCUGCAAGUGAAGAAUACUUCCAGCAUUACUCUAUAAUUAGACAAUCUCAGGAGGAAACAAGAGGAUUUCAAAGGGGAGUCAGAUGGUUUCGCAGACCGCUACAUCAUUUAUUUUUUCAUCACUCAGAUUAUGCCUCCAAAUCCUACAGAAGUAUAACAACCAUAGAACAGACAAACACCAACAGCAUCAACAACAGAGAAACUCAGUCCAGGAGGAUAUGAAACCCUUUGUAAUAAAGAAAGCAACAUCCA